GGGGAUCUAGCUCAGUGGGUAGAGCGCUUGCCUUGCAUGCACAAAGCCCUGGGUUCAAUCCCCAGCACCACCA
rnacentral:tRNA from 1 species